GCGUUGUUCGGAAUCACUGGGCGUAAAGGGUGCGUAGGCGGGUCUUUACGUCAGGGGUGAAAUCCUGGAGCUCAACUCCAGAACUGCCUUUGAUACCGAAGAUCUUGAGUUCGGGAGAGGUGAGUGGAACUGCGAGUGUAGAGGUGAAAUUCGUAGAUAUUCGCAAGAACACCAGUGGCGAAGGCGGCUCACUGGCCCGAUACUGACGCUGAGGCACGAAAGCGUGGGGAGCAAACAGG
rnacentral:rRNA from 1 species